GCUACUGUAGCUUAAACUAAAGCAUAACACUGAAGAUGUUAAGAAAGACCGUGGAACGUCUCAGGGGCA
rnacentral:tRNA from 1 species